GAAACUGCGAAUGGCUCAUUAAAUCAGUUAUGGUUUAUUUGAUGGUACCUUACUACUUGGAUAACCGUAGUAAUUCUAGAGCUAAUACAUGCAGGAAAGCCCGCCAGGGCUGUAUUUAUUAGAUAAGAAACCAAUCCAGCUUGCUGGUUGAGUGCUGAGUCACAAUAACUGCUCGAAUCGCAUGGCAUUUGCCGGCGAUGGUUCAUUCAAAUUUCUGCCCUAUCAGCUUUCGAUGGUAGGAUAGAGGCCUACCAUGGCGUUAACGGGUAACGGAGAAUUAGGGUUCGAUUCCGGAGAGGGAGCCUGAGAAAUGGCUACCACAUCCAAGGAAGGCAGCAGGCGCGUAAAUUGCCCGAAUCCUGACACAGGGAGGUAGUGACAAGAAAUAACAAUACAGGGCUCUUUCGAGUCUUGUAAUUGGAAUGAGUACAAUUUACAUCUCUUCAUGAGGAUCAAUUGGAGGGCAAGUCUGGUGCCAGCAGCCGCGGUAAUUCCAGCUCCAAUAGCGUAUAUUAAAGUUGUUGCAGUUAAAACGCUCGUAGUCGGAUUUCGGGGCGGUUUUGCCGGUCUGCCGUUGGGUAUGCACUGGUGCGAGCGUCCUUCCUUCCGGAGACGGCGCCUGCUCUUAACUGAGUGGGUGUCGGAGACGGAUCGUUUACUUUGAAAAAAUCAGAGUGUUUCAAGCAGGCAGCUCGCUUUUGCAUGGAUUAGCAUGGGAUAAUGAAAUAGGACUUUGGUGCUAUUUUGUUGGUUUCGAACACCGAAGUAAUGAUUAACAGGGACAGUCAGGGGCACUCGUAUUCCGCCGAGAGAGGUGAAAUUCUCAGACCAGCGGAAGACGCACCACUGCGAAAGCAUUUGCCAGGGAUGUUUUCACUGAUCAAGAACGAAAGUUAGGGGAUCGAAGACGAUCAGAUACCGUCGUA
rnacentral:rRNA from 1 species